GGUGGUUAUAGCGAUGGGGCUCACCUCUUACCAUUCCGAACAGAGAAGUUAAGCCCAUUUGCGCCGAUGGUACUACAUUUGUGGGAGAGUAGGUCGUUGCCU
rnacentral:rRNA from 1 species